GAUGAACGCUGGCGGCGUGCCUAACACAUGCAAGUCGAGCGGCAGCGAGGGGUGCUUGCACCCUGCCGGCGAGCGGCGGACGGCUGAGUAACGCGUGGGAACGUGCCCCAAAGUGAGGAAUAACUGCCCGAAAGGGUAGCUAAUACCGCAUAUUAUCUUCGGAUCAAAGGAUUUAUCCGCUUUGGGAGCGGCUCGCGUCGGAUUAGGUAGUUGGUGGGGUAAUGGCUCACCAAGCCGACGAUCCGUAGCUGGUCUGAGAGGAUGACCAGCCAGACUGGAACUGAGACACGGUCCAGACUCCUACGGGAGGCAGCAGUGAGGAAUCUUCCACAAUGGGCGAAAGCCUGAUGGAGCAACGCCGCGUGCAGGACGAAGGCCUUCGGGUUGUAAACUGCUUUUAUAAGUGAGGAAUAUGACGGUAACUUAUGAAUAAGGAUCGGCUAACUACGUG
rnacentral:rRNA from 1 species